rnacentral:rRNA from 1 species
AUUGAACGCUGGCGGCAGGCCUAACACAUGCAAGUCGAGCGAGCGGCGGACGGGUGAGUAAUGUAUGGGGAUCUGCCCGAUAGAGGGGGAUAACUACUGGAAACGGUGGCUAAUACCGCAUACUAUCGGAUGAACCCAUAUGGGAUUAGCUAGUGGGUGGGGUAAAGGCUCACCUAGGCGACGAUCCCUAUCUGGUCUGAGAGGAUGGUCGGACACACUGGAACUGAGACACGGGCCAGACUCCUACGGUAGGCAGCAGUGGGGAAGAUUGCACAAUGGGCUAAAGCCUGAGGCAGCCAUGCCGCGUGUAUGAAGAAGGCCUUCGGGUUGUAAAGUACUGUCAGCGGGGAGGCGUUACCCGCAGAAGAAGCACCGGCUAACUCCGUGCCAGCAGCCGCGGUAAUUC